GACGAACGCUGGCGGCGUGCUUAACACAUGCAAGUCGAACGGAAAGGCCCUGCUUUUGUGGGGUGCUCGAGUGGCGAACGGGUGAGUAACACGUGAGUAACCUGCCCUUGACUUUGGGAUAACUUCAGGAAACUGGGGCUGAUACCGGAUAGGAGCUCCUGCUGCAUGGUGGGGGUUGGAAAGUUUCGGCGGUUGGGGAUGGACUCGCGGCUUAUCAGCUUGUUGGUGGGGUAGUGGCUUACCAAGGCUUUGACGGGUAGCCGGCCUGAGAGGGUGACCGGCCACAUUGGGACUGAGAUACGGCCCAGACUCCUACGGGAGGCAGCAGUGGGGAAUAUUGCACAAUGGGCGGAAGCCUGAGGCAGCAACGCCGCGUGCGGGAUGACGGCCUUCGGGUUGUAAACCGCUUUCGCCUGUGACGAAGCGUGAGUGACGGUAAUGGGUAAAGAAGCACCGGCUAACUACGUG
rnacentral:rRNA from 1 species